AUUGAACGCUGGCGGCAUGCCUAACACAUGCAAGUCGAGCGAGCGGCGGACGGGCGAGUGAUUUAUGGGGAUGUGCCCGAUAGAGGGGUAUAACUACUGGAAAAGGUGGCUAAUACCGCAUACUACCGGAUGGACCCAUAGGGGAUUAGCUAGUAGGUGGGGUAAAGGCACAUCUAGGCGACGAUCUAUAGCUGGUCUGAGAGGAUGAUCAGCCACACUGGGACUGAGACACGGCCCAGACUCCUACGGGAGGCAGCAGUGGGGAAUAUUGCACAAUGGGCGAAAGCCUGAUGCAGCAAUGCCGCGUGAAUGAAGAAGGCCUUAGGGUCGUAAAGUACUGUCAGCGGGGAGGCGUUACCCAAAGAGGAAGCAACGGCUAACUCCGUGCCAGCCGCCGCGGUAAUAC
rnacentral:rRNA from 1 species